AGCUUUGCACAGUGUCAGUAUUGUAGUCAAUGAGGUUUAUCUGAGGCGUGAUUAUUGCUAAUUGAAAACACAGAUUGUCAGAAUGGAUCAAGAAGCAAGACCAACAAUACAC
rnacentral:snRNA from 1 species